CAGGUGUUGGAGGCUAUUCAUAUUUGUAUGAGCCACUUUGGUGGGCUGGCAUGAUAACAAGUUCUGUCUGUUUUUGGCUGUCUUCGGCUCCCUUCGAACUCCCACUCGCAAGAUACAUACCAAGAUACACCUUUAGUUGGCUGGUCAAACCUAUGUGAGUUUCUUCAUAGGGCAGUUGAUCUUACACUGGUUCCAUCAGUUGCCCUUGCAAAGGAGCUUGAAGCAGCUAGGGUAACAGCA